AUUGAACGCUGGCGGCAGGCCUAACACAUGCAAGUCGAACGGUAGCAGGAAGAAGCUUGCUUCUUUGCUGACGAGUGGCGGACGGGUGAGUAAUGUCUGGGAAACUGCCUGAUGGAAGGGGAUAACUACUGGAAACGGUAGCUAAUACCGCAUAACGUCGCAAGACCAAAGAGGGGGACCUUCGGGCCUCUUGCCAUCAGAUGUGCCCAGAUGGGAUUAGCUAGUAGGUGGGGUAACGGCUCACCUAGGCGACGAUCCCUAGCUGGUCUGAGAGGAUGACCAGCCACACUGGAACUGAGACACGGUCCAGACUCCUACGGGAGGCAGCAGUGGGGAAUAUUGCACAAUGGGCGCAAGCCUGAUGCAGCCAUGCCGCGUGUGUGAAGAAGGCCUUCGGGUUGUAAAGCACUUUCAGCGGGGAGGAAGGGGGAAUGGUUAAUAACCAUUGUCAUUGACGUUACCCGCAGAAGAAGCACCGGCUAACUCCGUGCCAGCAGCCGCCGUAA
rnacentral:rRNA from 1 species